rnacentral:rRNA from 1 species
UACAGAGGGGGCAAGCGUUGUUCGGAAUUACUGGGCGUAAAGGGCGCGUAGGCGGCCGCCUAAGUCAGACGUGAAAUCCCUCGGCUCAACCGGGGAACUGCGUCUGAUACUGGGCGGCUUGAAUCCGGGAGAGGGAUGCAGAAUUCCAGGUGUAGCGGUGAAAUGCGUAGAUAUCUGGAGGAAUACCGGUGGCGAAGGCGGCAUCCUGGACCGAUAUUGACACUGAGGAGCGAAAGCCAGGGGAGCAAACGGG